CCUACGGGUGGCUGCAGUGGGGAAUAUUGGACAAUGGGGGGAACCCUGAUCCAGCCAUGCCGCGUGUGUGAAGAAGGCCCUCGGGUUGUAAAGCACUUUCAGUGAGGAAGAACGCCUGGUGGUUAAUACCCAUCAGGAAAGACAUCACUCACAGAAGAAGCACCGGCUAACUCCGUGCCAGCAGCCGCGGUAAUACGGAGGGUGCGAGCGUUAAUCGGAAUUACUGGGCGUAAAGCGCGCGUAGGUGGCUUGAUAAGCCGGUUGUGAAAGCCCCGGGCUCAACCUGGGAACGGCAUCCGGAACUGUCAAGCUAGAGUGCAGGAGAGGAAGGUAGAAUUCCCGGUGUAGCGGUGAAAUGCGUAGAGAUCGGGAGGAAUACCAGUGGCGAAGGCGGCCUUCUGGACUGACACUGACAAUGAGGUGCGAAAGCGUGGGUAGCAAACAGGAUUAGAUACCCCAGUAGUC
rnacentral:rRNA from 1 species